AGCCUUUCUUACUACUUGGACUUGUCAUACAACUCCUUCUCUGGGGCCCUUCCUAAUGAAGUUGGUAGCUUGCCAAACCUUAACCAACUAAUUUUAUCAGGAAACCAGCUGUCUGGCAAGAUACCCGAUAGUAUUCAAAAUUGCAUAGUGUUUGGACGACUAUUCUUAGACAACAAUUUAUUUGAGGGAAGCAUACCUCAGUCACUGAAGAAUAUAAAGGGGCUCAGUACACUAAAUCUGACCAUGUAUCAUUUAUUUGGAAAUAUUCCCGAGUCCCUUGGUAGCAUUGGAAACCUGCAGGAAUUGUACCUGGCACACAACAACCUGUCAGGGUCAAUCCCAUCAGUUCUACAAAAUUUGACAUCAUUGUCUGAAUUGGAUAUAUCCUUCAAUAAUUUGCAAGGCGAGCUGCCAAAUGAAGGUGUUUUUAGAAACAUUACUUACUUAGCGGUUGCUGGGAAUGUCAAUUUGUGUGGUGGUACACCUCAACUUCAUUUGGCUCCAUGCCCAACAAGCGACUUAAUCAAGAACAAAAGAAAGAUGACAAAGUCUCUUGUGAUUUCUCUAGCGAUAGCUGGAGCAAUCUUGUUCGCACUUUCAGUUAUUGUUCUUGGUUGGAUAUCUUGCAAGAAGCUGAAACCAAGCCAGAAGACGUUAGCACAAUAUUCAGUUAAUGGUGAACAUUACAAGAGAAUCCCCUAUAAUGCAUUAUUCAGAGGAACUGACGAAUUUUCAGAAGCCAACUUGCUUGGGAGAGGAAGUUAUGGUGCAGUUUAUAAGUGUGUUUUGGACACUGAAGAAACAACAUUGGCUGUGAAGGUGUUUAAUCUUGGUCAAUCAAGGCAUGCCAAGAGUUUUGAGGCUGAAUGUGAGGCCAUGAGAAGGAUACGACACCGUUCUCUAAUUAAGAUCAUUACUUCUUGUUCGAGCAUGAACCACGAAGGUCAAGAAUUCAAGGCGUUGGUCUUUGAGUUCAUGCCCAAUGGUAACUUGGAUGGUUGGCUUCAUCCAAAAUCACAACAACCAACAAUAAACAACACACUCAGCCUUGCCCAGAGGCUUGGCAUUGCUUUUGAUAUUGUGGACGCAGUAGAAUAUUUGCACAACUACUGUCAGCCAUUGGUAAUCCACUGUGAUCUCAAGCCAAGCAACAUCCUUCUUGCUGAAGACCUGAGCGCCCGAGUUGGGGACUUUGGCAUAUCAAGGAUCCUUGAAGAAAAUACAAGCGAGGGGAUGCAGACUUCAUAUGGCUCAACAGGACUUAGAGGUUCCAUAGGCUAUGUUGCUCCAGGUGACUAAAACUCUUCUAAUUUUAUUUUUUACUUUUCGCUCGAAUAUGCCAGGGACCAUGGAGCAGAACGAGAAGCCUCGACUCAAGAAAUUCAGAGCAGCAUUGAAUAAACAAGCUGGCACAAGACAUGA
rnacentral:rRNA from 1 species